rnacentral:rRNA from 1 species
AGCGAACGCUGGCGGCAGGCCUAACACAUGCAAGUCGAACGAACUCUUCGGAGUUAGUGGCGGACGGGUGAGUAACACGUGGGAACGUGCCUUUUGGUUCGGAAUAACUCAGGGAAACUUGUGCUAAUACCGAAUGUGCCCUUCGGGGGAAAGAUUUAUCGCCAUUAGAGCGGCCCGCGUCUGAUUAGCUAGUUGGUGAGGUAACGGCUCACCAAGGCGACGAUCAGUAGCUGGUCUGAGAGGAUGACCAGCCACACUGGGACUGAGACACGGCCCAGACUCCUACGGGAAGCAGAAGUGGGGAAUCUUGCGCAAUGGGCGAAAGCCUGACGCAGCCAUGCCGCGUGAAUGAGGAAGGGCUUAGGAUUGUAAAAUUCUUUCACCGGGGACGAUAAUGACGGUACCCGGAGAAGAAGCCCCGGCUAACUUCGUG